GGGCAUCCAUUUAAAAUUAAAGCUUCGGCGGUUAAAGAUGGGCAUGCGUGACAUUAGUUAGUUGGUGAGGUAACGGCUCACCAAGACAGUGAUGUCUAGGGGUUCUGAGAGGAUUUUCCCCCACACUGGUACUGAGACACGGACCAGACUCCUACGGGAGGCAGCAGUGAGGAAUAUUGGUCAAUGGACGAAAGUCUGAACCAGCCAUGCCGCGUGCAGGAUGACGGCCCUAUGGGUUGUAAACUGCUUUUAUAUGGGAAGAAACCUUUCUACGUGUAGAGAGCUGACGGUACCAUACGAAUAAGGACCGGCUAACUCCGUGCCAGCAGCCGCGGUAAUACGGAGGGUCCAAGCGUUAUCCGGAUUUAUUGGGUUUAAAGGGUGCGCAGGCGGAUUUGUAAGUCAGUGGUGAAAUCCCCCGGCUCAACCGGGGAACUGCCAUUGAUACUACUAAUCUAGAGUACAGUUGAAGUAGGCGGAAUGUAGCAUGUAGCGGUGAAAUGCUUAGAGAUGCUACAGAACACCGAUUGCGAAGGCAGCUUACUAAGCUGUAACUGACGCUCAGGCACGAAAGCGUGGGGAGCAAACAGGAUUAGAUACCCUGGUAGUCCACGCCGUAAACUAUGAUUACUCGUUGUUGGCAAUAUAUCGUCAGCGACUGAACGAAAGUAUUAAGUAAUCCACCUGGGAAGUACGAUCGCAAGGUUGAAACUCAAAGGAAUUGACGGGGGCCCGCACAAGCGGUGGAGCAUGUGGUUUAAUUCGAUGAUACGCGAGGAACCUUACCUGGGCUUAAAUGUUAGACGACAGUCACCGAAAGGUGAUCUUCCUUCGGGACGUCUUACAAGGUGCUGCAUGGUUGUCGUCAGCUCGUGCCGUGAGGUGUCGGGUUAAGUCCCAUAACGAGCGCAACCCCUAUUCUUAGUUGCCAUCAGGUCAUGCUGGGGACUCUAAGAAAACUGCCUACGCAAGUAGUGAGGAAGGUGGGGAUGACGUCAAAUCAGCACGGCCCUUAUGUCCAGGGCUACACACGUGCUACAAUGGUCGGUACAGAGGGUCGCUACCUGGUGACAGGAUGCUAAUCUCGAAAACCGAUCUCAGUUCGGAUCGAAGUCUGCAACUCGACUUCAUGAAGUUGGAAUCGCUAGUAAUCGCGGAUCAGCAUGCCGCGGUGAAUAUGUUCCCGGGCCUUGUACACACCGCCCGUCACACCAUGGAAGUUGAUUAUACCCGACGUCGCUGGGCUAACCCAGCUAC
rnacentral:rRNA from 1 species